GACGAACGCUGGCGGCGUGCCUAAUACAUGCAAGUAGAACGCUGAAGGAAGGAGCUUGCUCUUUCCGGAUGAGUUGCGAACGGGUGAGUAACGCGUAGGUAACCUGCCUGGUAGCGGGGGAUAACUAUUGGAAACGAUAGCUAAUACCGCAUAACAGUAGAUAUCGCAUGAUAGCUGCUUGAAAGGUGCAAUUGCAUCACUACCAGAUGGACCUGCGUUGUAUUAGCUAGUUGGUGAGGUAACGGCUCACCAAGGCAACGAUACAUAGCCGACCUGAGAGGGUGAUCGGCCACACUGGGACUGAGACACGGCCCAGACUCCUACGGGAGGCAGCAGUAGGGAAUCUUCGGCAAUGGACGGAAGUCUGACCGAGCAACGCCGCGUGAGUGAAGAAGGUUUUCGGAUCGUAAAGCUCUGUUGUAAGAGAAGAACGAGUGUGAGAGUGGAAAGUUCACACUGUGACGGUAUCUUACCAGAAAGGGACGGCUAACUACGUGCCAGCAGCCGCGGUAAUACGUAGGUCCCGAGCGUUGUCCGGAUUUAUUGGGCGUAAAGCGAGCGCAGGCGGUUAGAUAAGUCUGAAGUUAAAGGCUGUGGCUUAACCAUAGUACGCUUUGGAAACUGUUUAACUUGAGUGCAAGAGGGGAGAGUGGAAUUCCAUGUGUAGCGGUGAAAUGCGUAGAUAUAUGGAGGAACACCGGUGGCGAAAGCGGCUCUCUGGCUUGUAACUGACGCUGAGGCUCGAAAGCGUGGGGAGCAAACAGG
rnacentral:rRNA from 1 species